CCCCAUAGUCUGGGAUACCACUUGGAAACAGGUGCUAAUACCGGAUAAGAAAGCGGAUCGCAUGAUCAGCUUUUAAAAGGCGGCGUAAGCUGUCGCUAUGGGAUGGCCCCGCGGUGCAUUAGCUAGUUGGUAAGGUAAAGGCUUACCAAGGCGAUGAUGCAUAGCCGAGUUGAGAGACUGAUCGGCCACAUUGGGACUGAGACACGGCCCAAACUCCUACGGGAGGCAGCAGAC
rnacentral:rRNA from 1 species